CAAGGAGGCUGGGCGACCGCUGUUUCGUCAAUAGGCGAAAGAGAGGAAAGUCCGAGCUCCACCGGGCAGGAUGCCCGCUAACGGCGGGGCGGGGCAACCCGACGGACAGUGCCACAGAAAUAUACCGCCCAGGUGAAUCGCUUGGGUAAGGGUGAAAAGGUGCGGUAAGAGCGCACCGCCGCGCUGGUAACAUCGCGGGCUAGGCAAACCCCAUUCGGAGCAAGGCCUAAUAGGGGGAUACGGACGCCCGGUCCCUCCCCGGGAUGGCCGCAAGACCGCGACGGCAACGGCGCGGCUAGAUGGAUGGUCGCCGCCUGCACAAAGAGCGCAGGACACAGAACUCGGCUUACAGGCUUCCUUGGCAU
rnacentral:RNase_P_RNA from 1 species